UACGGGGGGGGCAAGCGUUGUUCGGAAUUACUGGGCGUAAAGGGCUCGUAGGUGGCCAACUAAGUCAGGGGUGAAAUCCUGGAGCUCAACUCCAGAACUGCCUUUGAUACUGAAGAUCUUGAGUUCGGGAGAGGUGAGUGGAACUGCGAGUGUAGAGGUGAAAUUCGUAGAUAUUCGCAAGAACACCAGUGGCGAAGGCGGCUCACUGGCCCGGUACUGACGCUGAGGCACGAAAGCGUGGGGAGCGAACAGG
rnacentral:rRNA from 1 species